UACAGAGGUCCCAAGCGUUGUUCGGAUUCACUGGGCGUAAAGCGUGCGCAGGCGGUUCGUUAAGUUCGAUGUGAAAGCCCCGGGCUCAACCUGGGAAUGGCAUUGAAAACUGGCGGGCUUGAGUCUGGCAGAGGGGGGUGGAAUUCCGCGUGUAGCAGUGAAAUGCGUAGAGAUGCGGAGGAACACCGAUGGCGAAGGCAGCCCCCUGGGCCAAGACUGACGCUCAGGCACGAAAGCGUGGGGAGCAAACAGG
rnacentral:rRNA from 1 species